rnacentral:piRNA from 1 species
UCCAUCGUUUGUCACUGUAGCGUGCUA